rnacentral:rRNA from 1 species
AUUGAACGCUGGCGGCAGGCCUAACACAUGCAAGUCGAGCGAGCGGCGGACGGGUGAGUAAUGUCUGGGAAACUGCCUGAUGGAGGGGGAUAAAUACUGGAAACGGUAGCUAAUACCGCAUACCAUCAGAUGUGCCCAGAUGGGGUUAGCUAGUAGGUGGUGUAACGGCUCACCUAGGCGACGAUACCUAGCUGGGCUGAGAGGAUGACCAGACACACUGGAACUGAGACCCGGGCCAGAGUCCUACGGUAGGCAGCAGUGGGGAAUAUUGCACAAGGGGCGCAAGCCUGAUGCAGCCGUGCCGCGUGUGUGAAGAAGGCCUUCGGGUUGUAAAGCACUUUCAGCGGGGAGGCGUUACCCGCAGAAGAAGCACCGGCUAACUCCGUGCCAGCAGCCGCGGUAAUAC